UGUCUUUCUGCAACACUCCUCUUGGAAGCAUGCGUUCUCCGGGUCGACCUGCUCGACUCGAAAUAUUUGCCUUAAAUAUGGAAGUGAAUCGACAAUUGUUUAUAUCGACUAAUCGUUAUUACGGUUCAGGAGGUUGAAGAGAAAUUAGUUUGAAUUUGAUGAGGCGCUGAAAAUCAUGCGUGUACGAGCACGGAGACAAGGCCGCACCAGCCAGGAGGGUCACAUGAGCUGGCGAUGAACUGGGAUUGAGGCGAUGGCUCACCCACACGUGGAGCUGCAGAUGGAGGCCUGCUAAGACGCUGUUGACGAUGGUGGAAUGAUCUCUGCAUUAACAACAUGGCAUCAGACUGAAAUGGACCAGAACCGUGUAAAGGACCAGAUGACACCAUGGCUUACAAUGUCUGCAUUUCCUGAUCAGUUCUUGAUCUGUAAAUGUAAAAGUAUCUGAAUAAAGCAUUGUUUUUAAA